rnacentral:rRNA from 1 species
UACCCUUGACAUGCCUGGAAGCUUUAAGAGAUUAAAGUGUGCUCGCAAGAGAACCGGUGCACAGGUGCUGCAUGGCUGUCGUCAGCUCGUGUCGUGAGAUGUUGGGUUAAGUCCCGCAACGAGCGCAACCCUUGUCAUUAGUUGCUACGUAAGAGCACUCUAGUGAGACUGCCGGUGACAAACCGGAGGAAGGUGGGGAUGACGUCAAGUCCUCAUGGCCCUUAUGGGUAGGGCUUCACACGUCAUACAAUGGUCGGGACAGAGGGUUGCCAAGCCGCGAGGUGGAGCUAAUCUCUUAAACCCGAUCGUAGUCCGGAUUGCAGGCUGCAACUCGCCUGCAUGAAGUCGGAAUCGCUAGUAAUCGCAGAUCAGAAUGCUGCGGUGAAUACGUUCCCGGGUC